rnacentral:rRNA from 1 species
GAUGAACGCUGGCGGCGUGCCUAAUACAUGCAAGUCGAGCGAACGGACGAGAAGCUUGCUUCUCUGAUGUUAGCGGCGGACGGGUGAGUAACACGUGGAUAACCUACCUAUAAGACUGGGAUAGCUUCGGGAAACCGGAGCUAAUACCGGAUAAUAUUUUGAACCGCAUGGUUCAAAAGUGAAAGACGGUCUUGCUGUCACUUAUAGAUGGAUCCGCGCUGCAUUAGCUAGUUGGUAAGGUAACGGCUUACCAAGGCAACGAUGCAUAGCCGACCUGAGAGGGUGAUCGGCCACACUGGAACUGAGACACGGUCCAGACUCCUACGGGAGGCAGCAGUAGGGAAUCCUCCGCAAUGGGCGAAAGCCUGACGGAGCAACGCCGCGUGAGUGAUGAAGGUCUUCGGAUCGUAAAACUCUGUUAUUAGGGAAGAACAUAUGUGUAAGUAACUGUGCACAUCUUGACGGUACCUAAUCAGAAAGCCACGGCUAACUACGUGCCAGCAGCCGCGGUAAUACGUAGGUGGCAAGCGUUAUCCGGAAUUAUUGGGCGUAAAGCGCGCGUAGGCGGUUUUUUAGUCUGAUGUGAAAGCCCACGGCUCAACCGUGGAGGGUCAUUGGAAACUGGAAAACUUGAGUGCAGAAGAGGAAAGUGGAAUUCCAUGUGUAGCGGUGAAAUGCGCAGAGAUAUGGAGGAACACCAGUGGCGAAGGCGACUUUCUGGUCUGUAACUGACGCUGAUGUGCGAAAGCGUGGGGAUCAAACAGGAUUAGAUACCCUGGUAGUCCACGCCGUAAACGAUGAGUGCUAAGUGUUAGGGGGUUUCCGCCCCUUAGUGCUGCAGCUAACGCAUUAAGCACUCCGCCUGGGGAGUACGACCGCAAGGUUGAAACUCAAAGGAAUUGACGGGGACCCGCACAAGCGGUGGAGCAUGUGGUUUAAUUCGAAGCAACGCGAAGAACCUUACCAAAUCUUGACAUCCUUUGACAACUCUAGAGAUAGAGCUUUCCCCUUCGGGAGACAAAGUGACAGGUGGUGCAUGGUUGUCGUCAGCUCGUGUCGUGAGAUGUUGGGUUAAGUCCCGCAACGAGCGCAACCCUUAAGCUUAGUUGCCAUCAUUAAGUUGGGCACUCUAAGUUGACUGCCGGUGACAAACCGGAGGAAGGUGGGGAUGACGUCAAAUCAUCAUGCCCCUUAUGAUUUGGGCUACACACGUGCUACAAUGGACAAUACAAAGGGCAGCGAAACCGCGAGGUCAAGCAAAUCCCAUAAAGUUGUUCUCAGUUCGGAUUGUAGUCUGCAACUCGACUACAUGAAGCUGGAAUCGCUAGUAAUCGUAGAUCAGCAUGCUACGGUGAAUACGUUCCCGGGUCU